GGCGAACGCUGGCGGCGUGCUUAACACAUGCAAGUUGAACGGUAAGGCCCUUCGGGGUACACGAGUGGCGAACGGGUGAGUAACACGUGGGUGAUCUGCCCUGCACUUCGGGAUAAGCCUGGGAAACUGGGUCUAAUACCGGAUAGGACCACUGCCUGCAUGGGUGGUGGUGGAAAGCUUUUGCGGUGUGGGAUGGGCCCGCGGCCUAUCAGCUUGUUGGUGGGGUGAUGGACGACCAAGGCGACGACGGGUAGCCGGCCUGAGAGGGUGACCGGCCACACUGGGACUGAGAUACGGCCCAGACUCCUACGGGAGGCAGCAGUGGGGAAUAUUGCACAAUGGGCGCAAGCCUGAUGCAGCGACGCCGCGUGAGGGAUGACGGCCUUCGGGUUGUAAACCUCUUUCAGCACCGACGAAGCGCAAGUGACGGUAGGUGCAGAAGAAGGACCGGCCAACUACGUGCCAGCCGCCGCGGUAA
rnacentral:rRNA from 1 species